GUGAGUCAUCGAAUCUUUGAACGCACCUUGCGCUCCUUGGUAUUCCGAGGAGCAUGCCUGUUUGAGUGUCUUGAAAUCAUCAAACCCCUCCCCUGCUUUUUCCGGCGGGGGCGGGCGGUUUGGAGCUGGGGGUUGUGCUGCCGAAGAGGCGGCUCCCCUCAAAUGCGUCGGUCAGGCGCGUGCGGGUCGAUCUCGGACCGGGCGUUGUACCAUCCUCGCUCUGCUGGGAACCCGUGCGGCGACCAGGGCUGCCUGUGGAGUGGCUGCCAAACUCCUUUCUCUUUUGACCUCAAAUCAGGUAGGACUACCCGCUGAACUUAAGCAUAUCAAUAAGCGGAGGA
rnacentral:misc_RNA from 1 species